UACGGAGGGGGCUAGCGUUGUUCGGAAUUACUGGGCGUAAAGCGCACGUAGGCGGCCUUGCAAGUUAGAGGUGAAAGCCCGGGGCUCAACUCCGGAAUUGCCUUUAAAACUGCAUCGCUAGAAUUGUGGAGAGGUAAGUGGAAUUCCGAGUGUAGAGGUGAAAUUCGUAGAUAUUCGGAAGAACACCAGUGGCGAAGGCGACUUACUGGACACAUAUUGACGCUGAGGUGCGAAAGCGUGGGGAGCAAACAGG
rnacentral:rRNA from 1 species